UAUGUUAAUAAUAACAAUUAGUAGGAGUGUAACAUAUAAUAUUUAUUAGUAGUAGUAAAGAAAAUUCGGUAAUGAUGGUAUUAAUUUCUUAUAGUUUGUAAUAUGUGUAUACGACUUAAGAAUAGAAGAGUAAAAAUGUUUAUGAUAGUUUUUCUGUUUUGAUCAGAAUAUCCCUAUUAUAUACAUAAUCCACUAUAUUAUUAUAUUUUAUUAAAUAUAAAUAGUAGGAUAGCUCUUCUGACCUCAUUUAAAAUCGUUUAUGACAUUGAACAUAGCAUUAGAAAAGAGAAAACAGCAUGUUUAUUUUUCUUUUGCAACGUAUAUACUAAUAUGGUCUGGUGUAUAUGAAAGUCACAAGUAGUUGGUUAACUAAAGGGAUGGAGGAUAUAUAUAUUGGAGUAUAAUAAUAAUAGUGAGAUUAUUUAUACAUAUAUAUAUGUGUGCGGAUGGUACUAUGGAGGAUCUAAUUGGUACUAAAUAAUCAUGAAAAAGACUACGUUUAUAUAUAAUAUCAUUGUUUUUUAUUUUGCAAUGGUAUUAUAUAUAAAAGGAACCUUUAUAUAUGCAUUUGUUAAAGAUGCAUAUAUGAGGUGGGGAAAUACAAGCACGUGGAGUUGAAUAGGUGCAUGGGUGAGUGGAUGAAUGGGUGUGGGGGGUACUAGGGUACAUUGAGGUACAUGUUUGCAGGAACAUGGGGGAUAUGCCCAUGGUCACAGGCAGAGGCGCAUGGGCACCGACACUGAAUCAGACAGUAUAAAUAGUGCAAAAACUGAUACAGAAAACGGCACAGGAGCAGCCAAAUAUUAUGCACUUAGGAAAAUACAGAAAAGUAUUUAAAAAUUCUAAAGUACGUUUUUAAUCAGUUGGUACUUUAGAAAUAUGUCCUUCUAUGGGUAGGGAAUAAGUUGUAAUUUUAAUUAUAAUUUAUUUGGGUUUUAUUAUAUGGAAAGGCACCGACACUGAAUCAGACAGUAUAAAUAGUGCAAAAACUGAUACAGAAAACGGCACAGGAGCAGCCAAAUAUUAUGCACUUAGGAAAAUACAGAAAAGUAUUUAAAAAUUCUAAAGUACGUUUUUAAUCAGUUGGUACUUUAGAAAUAUGUCCUUCUAUGGGUAGGGAAUAAGUUGUAAUUUUAAUUAUAAUUUAUUUGGGUUUUAUUAUAUGGAAACAUAUAUAUAAUAAUGAAUUGUAAAUGUAUUAUUUGUUUGUUAAUUUACAUGUUCGCAAUAAUAUUGGAAAGGAAUAAACUGCGUUUUUUUUUUUUUUUUUUUUUUUGUGUGUGGUUAAUUAUUUGAAUUUUCUACAUAUAAAUACAUAUACAAUAUAUAUAUAUAUAUAUAUAUUUUAUUAUUAAGUAUAUAAUAUGACAUAUUAUAUGUACGUUUUGUCUUAGACCAUUUGUUUUACAUUUAGGUGUUAAAGAUUAUUCAAAAGAAUUUAACUAUAUUUUAUCAUAAAUAUAGUUAAUUCUUUUGAUCUUCAAGUCUUCAGAACCUGGAUAUGGAUUAUAACAUUCUUUAUGUUAUAAGAAGACCGGAUUAUCUCAAGGAUCGAAGACGGGAUUAUCUUAAUAAUCGAAGACCGGAUUAUUUUUAUAAUCCGCAUGUAUGAAGAUAAUAUAGGUAGAACAUUAUAUAAUUGUUAUUAUAAUAAUGAAAAAAUAAAAAAAAAAAAGAAAAAUGAAAAAAAGAAAAGAAAAAAGGAAAAGAAAAAAAUGAAAAAAGGAAAAAUGAAAAGAAAAAAGGAAAAGAAAAAAAUGAAAAAAAAAAAUGAAAAAAAAAAAUAAAAGAAAAAAAUGAAAAAAAAAUGAAAAAAAAAUGAAAAAAAAAAAUAAAAGAAAAAAAUAAAAGAAAAAAAUAAAAGAAAAAAAUAAAAGAAAAAAAAAAUGAAAAAAAAAAUGAAAAAAAAAUGAAAAAAAAAAAUAAAAGAAAAAAAUAAAAGAAAAAAAUAAAAGAAAAAAAUAAAAGAAAAAAAAAAUGAAAAAAAAAAAUGAAAAAAAAAAAUGAAAAAAAAAUGAAAAAAAAAUGAAAAAAAAAAUAAAAGAAACUUAUAUAUGUGUAUAAAUAAUUUUUAAUUUAUGCAUAUACAUUUUCAUAUACAUAAAUUAUGCUCUUCUUAUACUUUUUAUUUAUCCUUGUGUUAUAGUGUUGCAUAUACAAAAAAAAAUCAUUUGCCUAACGUAAAGAGGUGAAUAGAUGUGUUUUAUGUUUGAUUAUAUUGUAUUUUAAUUUAAGUAAAUAAUUAAAAUAUAAUAUAUUGAAUAAUGUAUGUUAAUGUGAAAUGUAGUGUAAAUAGUGAUUGUAUAGUUUUAUAUUAUGUUGUGUUUAUUUACUGUUGAAAAUUAAAAGAAAUAUAUAUAUAUGUUUGUCUAAAUAAAUAUUUUGUUAAUAUGUCGUAAGUUUAUAAUUAAAUGUGUGUUACAUGAAUAAAUGUUUUGUUAAUAAGUCUGAAGUUUAUAAUUAAAUGUGUGUUACAUGAAAAUGAAUAUUUUGUUAAUAAGUCGUAAGUUUAUAAUUAAAUGUGUGUUACAUGAAAAUGAAUAUUUUGUUAAUAAGUCGUAAGUUUAUAAUUAAAUGUGUGUUACAUGAAAAUGAAUAUUUUGUUAAUAAGUCGUAAGUUUAUAAUUAAAUGUGUGUUACAUGAAAAUGAAUAUUUUGUUAAUAAGUCGUAAGUUUAUAAUUAAAUGUGUGUUACAUGAAUAAAUAUUUUUUGAUAAGACUUAAAUUUAUAAUCAAAUGUGUGUUACGUGAAUAAAUAUUUUUUGAUAAGACUUAAAUUUAUAAUCAAAUGUGUGUUACAUGAAUAAAUAUUUUUUGAUAAGACUUAAAUAUAUAAUCAAAUGUGUGUUACGUGAAUAAAUAUUUUUUUAAUAAGACUUAAAUUUAUAAUUAAAUGUGUGUGUUACAUGAAUAAAUAUGUGCAGCUAUACAAGUAAAAAUGGCGCUAUAUUAUUAUAUUAAUAAUGAUAUAUUGAAGAUUAAAUGAAGAUAUUGCGGAGGAAUAAUGACAAGACAAAUAAAUAAAUGUAUAUAUUUCCAUAUUUAUAUGUGCAGACAUAGAUAUUGAUAUAUAUUGAAGAAGGAUAGAUUUUUGAAUAAAUGAAAAUCUAUGAAGAAAUAUAUUUGUUUAUAUAAACCUUGGAGUAUAAUAUAUUCUAUUGGUACAUGAA
rnacentral:sRNA from 1 species